rnacentral:rRNA from 1 species
GUAAGCGCGCGCAGGCGGUUUCUUAAGUCUGAUGUGAAAGCCCCCGGCUCAACCGGGGAGGGUCAUUGGAAACUGGGGAACUUGAGUGCAGAAGAGGAGAGUGGAAUUCCACGUGUAGCGGUGAAAUGCGUAGAGAUGUGGAGGAACACCAGUGGCGAAGGCGACUCUCUGGUCUGUAACUGACGCUGAGGCGCGAAAGCGUGGGGAGCGAACAGGAUUAGAUACCCUGGUAGUCCACGCCGUAAACGAUGAGUGCUAAGUGUUAGAGGGUUUCCGCCCUUUAGUGCUGCAGCAAACGCAUUAAGCACUCCGCCUGGGGAGUACGGUCGCAAGACUGAAACUCAAAGGAAUUGACGGGGGCCCGCACAAGCGGUGGAGCAUGUGGUUUAAUUCGAAGCAACGCGAAGAACCUUACCAGGUCUUGACAUCCUCUGACAACCCUAGAGAUAGGGCUUCCCCUUCGGGGGCAGAGUGACAGGUGGUGCAUGGUUGUCGUCAGCUCGUGUCGUGAGAUGUUGGGUUAAGUCCCGCAACGAGCGCAACCCUUGAUCUUAGUUGCCAGCAUUCAGUUGGGCACUCUAAGGUGACUGCCGGUGACAAACCGGAGGAAGGUGGGGAUGACGUCAAAUCAUCAUGCCCCUUAUGACCUGGGCUACACACGUGCUACAAUGGGCAGAACAAAGGGCAGCGAAGCCGCGAGGCUAAGCCAAUCCCACAAAUCUGUUCUCAGUUCGGAUCGCAGUCUGCAACUCGACUGCGUGAAGCUGGAAUCGCUAGUAAUCGCGGAUCAGCAUGCCGCGGUGAAUACGU